rnacentral:rRNA from 1 species
CCUACGGGAGGCAGCAGUGGGGGAUAUUGCACAAUGGGGGAAACCCUGAUGCAGCGACGCCGCGUGGGCGAAGAAGUAUUUCGGUAUGUAAAGCCCUAUCAGCAGGGAAGAAGAAAUGACGGUACCUGAGUAAGAAGCACCGGCUAAAGACGUGCCAGCAGCCGCGGCAAUACGUAUGGUGCAAGCGUUAUCCGGAUUUACUGGGUGUAAAGGGAGCGCAGGCGGCACGGCAAGCCUGAUGUGAAAGCCCGGGGCCCAACCGCGGGAUUGCGUUGGGAACUACCGGGCUGGAGUGACGGAGAGGUAGGCGGAAUGCCUAGUGUAGCGGUGAAAUGCGUAGAUAUUAGGCGGAACACCAGUGGCGAAGGCGGCCUACUGGACGGUGACUGACGCUGAGGCUCGAAAGCGUGGGGAGCAAACAGGAUUAGAUACCCCAGUAGUC